AGGUUCAAACAAUUGUCCUGCCUCAGCCUCCCAAGUAACUGGGAUCACAGAUCUCUCCCCUGGGAGAAACCAGCCACCAUGUUGUAAACAGCCCUGUGGCGAGGCCCACAUGAGGAAGACCAGGGCUUACCAACAUCCUCUGAAUGCACGUGGAAACAGAUCUCUGUCCCUCCCCUCAAGGCCCAACUGUGCAUCCAAAUGAAAUCACAGCCUUUGUUGACAGCUUGACAGUCUCCUCAUGAGCCAGAGAAAUCAGCUAGGUGACUCAGAUUUCAGACUCACAGAAACUGUGAGAUAAUAAAUGCUUAUUGCUUUAAAUGCUAAAUUUUGGGGGUUACUGAUUAUGCAACAAUAGAUAACUAAGAUAGAUGAAGAGUGCAAUGGGAAUGAUAAAUUCUAGAGUGAGCCCAAGUUCACUGUAAAUAGGGAGCCACAGUGAUAUAAUCCCAAGACUCCAGUGUGGCAUGAGGCUGAGAGCAUACUAGGGUUUAUCCAACUUCUUGGUAUUGAACUUCUUUUCAUUUCACUAGACUGAGGCUAAACUGGGAUUUGCUAUGGAGAGAAUAUGUCUUCUAAGUUUCACGGGUUGGAAACAUUCCCCAAAUUUGUAUAUUAAUGAUAUUUGGAGGUAGGACCUUUAAGAGAUAAUUAGGAUUAGAUAAAGUCAUAAAAGUGGGGUCUCCAUGAUGAGACUCAAGGCUUUAUAAAAAGAGGAGGAAGGAACUGAGCUGACAUGCUCUUGCCCUCUCGCCAUGUGGUACCUUCUGCCAUGUUAUGACACAUGAAGAAGGCCUUCAUCAGAUGCAGUUCCUUGAUCUUGGACUUCCCAGCCUCCUGACUGUAAGAAAUAAACUUGUUUUCUUUAUAAA